UUUUCAUAAGGCUAAUAUAUAAUAACACAACAGUACUGUCACUGUAUUCUGUAGCACUCCUAAACAACAGACCCCGCACAAACACUGAUGUUGCCUAUUUUCUCCACAGAAUCUCUGAAUGUAUUUACGUAUUUGGAAACCUGUUUUACCAAAAAUAUUUGAAUCUGAAAUGUGUGAUUCGUAUCCCAGCAAACUGACAUGGUGCUGUUUUUCUUAUGUGAUGAUGCUUAUACAACUGAUGCUUAACACAACCAAUUAGAAGCUGUCUCUGAGCAAGCAAUACAGGCAGAAGACUGGAGCUAUGACAAUUUGCCAACCUACUCCCCACAUAUACAGUAUGAGGGAAUGGAAGUUGGAACUUGACGGGAAGUAUGGAAUGGCACAUCCUAAAAAUAGAAGUGCAACAGCACUGACUCAAGACCAAGUCAUCCCUUACAGGAAUUAUCUACAAAGGAAACGAAAUUUCAUGGCAUCUCUCUGUCAUCCUUCCCUGCAGAUGGUGCCUCCAAAUCCCUUCUGAAGGCAUUUGUGAGGACCAGCAUAUAACUCAACAAGAAAUGUUCAUGGCUCCAACCAGUAGAAAUUAAUACCAGAGACAGAAAUCCUAUCACUGAAGCCAUGGAGGAAGACACACACUCCAGCCCUGACCACUGAACCACUGUGGUUUAAUUAUGCAAAACUGGGGUUGAAGAUUCAAGAUAUUGCUCAGAUUGUUCUGCAGUAAACUCUUCUGAUUCAGCAGUGUCAGCAGGAAGGAGCCCAUGGAUGCCAAACUAACUCCAUCUCUGCAGCCUGUUGUGCCAUCACAUGAAUAUAGGAUUCUUGCUUCUGGAUCACUCAGCUCUGUUGUCCAGGUUGAAGCAGGAGGUGAUGCUACAUGGAAAGACAAGCCAAGGAGACCUUGCUCAGGUUUCCUUACAUUCUAAAACAAAGAGCCAGGUGUAAGAGCUUGGAGUAAUUUGAAGUUAAUCUCCUACUGAUACCUUCAAGCUUGAAAGCUUUAUGAGCAUCUCUGCUACACUCCUCAAGAAAAUUACCUGAACAAAGCUGCCCAAACAUGGUAUGUCUGUGACUCCAUUUCCCUCUGCACUGUGGAGCUGGAUUCAUGUCACCAGGUCUCAUUACUUCAGGUCACUUGUGCUGUGUCCAGUCCAGUGGAACCCUCCAAAGAUGGAGAUUCUGCAAGUUCUGCUGAGUGUGAUUGCUGUAAUGCAUUGGUAAGAGAGCAACCCACAGGCAAAACUUUCUCCACUUUUCUGAACACAAUAGGAGAUGUCCCACUUCCUAUCCAAGGAUGUUCUCACUGAACUUUCUGGGUUACAUAUAAUACCUUUCAGGAGUCAGGCAACAGAGCUUUGUAUCUGGGGGAUCUAACAGGUGUUGUCCAUUUAGGCUUGCAUGAGCCCACUGUGGAAGGGAUUACUUAAGCAGCUCAGGAUUCAAAAGUUAGCACAGUAAGUAAAAUCUUUACAUUAUUUUGUGAUUUGUGGUCAGUUUGUUCCCUUGUUUACCAAAUUAGUUGGGUUUUUUUCCCAGUUAAAUCUCUUUUAGAUUUAUUGGAGAGGUGACAAAAAUCUGAGAAUUGUCACUAUCACCAGUAUUUUAAAAUGGUCCCUUAAAAAGUGUGUAGUGAUUUGAUUCAUACCUUUUAGCAAAUUCUGGAAGCUCUAACUUCACUGCUAGAACUACUGGUAGCCCUUCCCAGUGUGAAAAUCCCCUGUGAGUUCCCAGCCCUUGUGCAGACCUCUGCAGAACUGGGGAGCAAAGCUUCUGCCUCAUCCCUCCUGACCUGUCCUGCCUCCCUCAGCUUCCAUCCCUCUUCCAUGCAGAACUCAGGCCAGGAGAGCCAAGGAAGCACUUGUGAGUAUUUUUGUGGCAAAGUGCUGCUUUCACAAACAUGCAUCAAAGACACAUAAUCCUGUCUAUUUUGUUCCCAGUUGCUUGCAGAAGAGAGAUCUGGACCCAGGCAAGUACUGGGAGCCUCUUCUUCCACCUUCCUGGGAUACCAGGGCAGAUCUCCCACCAGAAGUGAACAUGGGGUGUUUUGUUUAAGCUGGGAAGCUGAUAGUGUUGAACCCAUCUAGUUGAAUAAACCAGCUGGCUGUCCUCUUGCCAUCUCUGAUGUAAAUCUAUAUGGUAUUGUGAAACAUUGUUUAUUUUAAGCUUGCAGUAUUUACUAAAGCAAACCAAAAGGGUUCUUUCUAACUUCCACAUCAUUUUUUCUACUGAGCUAUUUGUUGGAAAGAUAUGUUCAUGUAUAAUUAAAUGUGGCUUGCUUAAACCUUUGCAGUUGGUAGCUUAAUAUAUAUUUUGUUGUGCUUUGAGUACAAAGGAUAUAUUAUGCUUUUGUUGGCAUCCUUGCUGGUUAGAAUGCCAACUGCAUAAUUUUGUUCUCUGCUCUAUGUCAGAAUUCAAGUGCCGAGGGCUCAACAGGUGGUGCUGGGAUAAAGUUCUGGCAAAUCAAAUAGCAUGAAGAUACCUGGGAACAAGAAGAUAUUUACUGAGAAUAAAAAUCUCAGUUCAACAUGACACUCUUCACAAUCCCUCAGUUGGACUGACCCUGUUCCAGCUUGGUCAACCCAGGAAAUCUGCACCCAGUUGUUUUAGGAGUUAAUCUGGAGCUUCGCUGCAAUGGACUGGCUUAGAAAAUGAGCUUUCACAGGAGGCCAGAAGAAGGGCAAGGGAUUGGGUGUACCUUCGUUUCCUGAAGUGAGCAGGAGCCCGAGCUGCAGAGCCAGAUGCCCUUGGCACCCAGCUUUUCUGUUUCCUCUCAGUGGCAAAAGUCUGCAGAAUGAUGACACAGAUUUACUCGAAGGAGGCAGUGUGGAAGCAGAUCUGGACACAUGUGACAGAGCUGGAGGCAUCUCACUGUUGCUGCAGCAUAGAGACAGCAGCUGUAAACCAGCAUGUUUGAAAGGUACAGAAGCAUUCAGGACAGCAACCUUCCCCUGAGCUGGACAUGUUUGUCAGAUUGUCAGUGUGCACAGGGCAUUGCCAAGGAAGUGAUGGGAACUACACUGUUGACACAGCAUUAAUGUUUCUUGUUUCCUGUCUGUUCACAUUAUUAACCCACAUAGCUGUGUAACACGUGUGUGCUAAAGUCACAAAAAGAGGCUUAAAUGGCUGUCAAAUGUGCUGAGGUGGUUGAGCCCGCCUCAAUUUGUGUUUCCACAGGAGCCUGCUGUGGUGGGACUCCCACUUUUCAGAACAAAAGCAUGUUUUUUACCCCAGCUCCAACAUCCAGCAUGUUCUUAAUGGUCUUAUAGAUCAGGUCUCAGUUGUCAUACUCAAAUAACAGUCUAAAUUUGGACCUGUUUGGGUCAAAAUGGUUUAAGGAUAAUAUUGUGGAUGUCACAGGCUUCUGCCUGUGGCUCUGGCAUCACAAAAAGCAGUGACAGUGCUCAGUGUCAAGAUGCACUGGCAAUGAGAGCAGCUCAGGACUGCAGUAAACCCUGGAUUCAGAAUAUCAAAGCAAUGAACAGCAUUAUAAAAUACUAGCAGAGAAGGUAGGCAGAUGAAAAGGACAGGAAAUAGAAAAAAGAAGAGGAGAAGAUAUGGAGAAACAAAAAUAGUUGAGAAUAUAGGGGAGUUAAAAGGCACUGAUCUGUAUUUUUUGAGCCUAUUCAUGUGUGUGUACAAGGGCAUGCAUGUGCAUGUUACCCCAGCACAUGCCCAUAGGAACUGCUGCUGGACAACAAAUAAAGAAAGGAAAUGUGGGAGGAGAUGAGGAAUAGAAGAGGAAAGUGGUCUAGAAUAAGGAAGCCUGGUAUUUUUUGUCUUUGAAGACUGGACUUGCAUGAAGACUUGCACGUGGAAGAAUUGAUUGUUUUGAAAAUAAAUGCAAAGAUUCACUCCUGGGUAGAGCUAUUUCAAAGCAGUGAAACAGCAGGUUCUAAAAAUGCUUUUGAACAGUAACAGUGAAAAACUCUUAAUGG